rnacentral:rRNA from 1 species
AUUGAACGCUAGCGGGAUGCUUUACACAUGCAAGUCGAACGGCAGCGCGGACUUCGGUCUGGCGGCGAGUGGCGAACGGGUGAGUAAUGUAUCGGAACGUGCCCAGUAGCGGGGGAUAACUACGCGAAAGCGUAGCUAAUACCGCAUACGCCCUACGGGGGAAAGCAGGGGAUCGUAAGACCUUGCACUAUUGGAGCGGCCGAUAUCGGAUUAGCUAGUUGGUGAGGUAACGGCUCACCAAGGCGACGAUCCGUAGCUGGUUUGAGAGGACGACCAGCCACACUGGGACUGAGACACGGCCCAGACUCCUGCGGGACGCAGCAGUGGGGAAUUUUGGACAAUGGGGGCAACCCUGAUCCAGCCAUCCCGCGUGUGCGAUGAAGGCCUUCGGGUUGUAAAGCACUUUUGGCAGGAAAGAAACGUCGCGGGCUAAUACCCCGUGGAACUGACGGUACCUGCAGAAUAAGCACCGGCUAACUACGUG